UACGGAGGAUCCGAGCGUUAUCCGGAUUUAUUGGGUUUAAAGGGUGCGUAGGUGGCCUGUUAAGUCAGGGGUGAAAGACGGUAGCUCAACUAUCGCAGUGCCCUUGAUACUGAUGGGCUUGAAUGAACUAGAGGUAGGCGGAAUGUGACAAGUAGCGGUGAAAUGCAUAGAUAUGUCACAGAACGCCAAUUGCGAAGGCAGCUUACUAUGGUUUUAUUGACACUGAGGCACGAAAGCGUGGGGAUCAAACAGG
rnacentral:rRNA from 1 species